rnacentral:sRNA from 1 species
UUUUUUUUCCAAAUUUCUUAAAUAUACAAGCAAUGAAAUUGAGAAAAAGUAAACUCGUCAUUUUCCCGCCAAAAACGUAAACCCGUGAUUUUCCCGCCAAAAAACAUAAACCUGUGAUUUUUCCGCAAAAAACAAAAACUCGUAAUUUUCCCGUCAAAAAACGUAAACCCGUAAUUUUCCCGCCAAAAACGUAAACCCGUGAUUUUCCUGCCAAAAACGUAAACCCGUGAUUUUCCCGUCAAAAUGUAUAUAAGUCAUAUAUAUGUAUAAUCCUUAAUACAAUCUAGCGCCUCUAUAUAUAAGAAGACAAAGAAAAGAAACCCUAAACCUUGAUUCACUAUUUUUCUUUCUCUU